UACGUAGGGGGCAAGCGUUAUCCGGAUUUACUGGGUGUAAAGGGAGCGUAGACGGCCAGACAAGUCAGAAGUGAAAGCCCAGGGCUCAACCCUGGGACUGCUUUUGAAACUGCCAAGCUAGAGUGUCGGAGAGGUAAGUGGAAUUCCUAGUGUAGCGGUGAAAUGCGUAGAUAUUAGGAGGAACACCAGUGGCGAAGGCGGCUUACUGGACGAUGACUGACGCUGAGGCUCGAAAGCGUGGGGAGCAAACAGG
rnacentral:rRNA from 1 species